UCAGCAGCCUCUACAAACAUGAUACUGCAGUGUACUGGUGUGAGUCCAGAGAGGGAGCAGCCAGCAGCAGCAUCCAGCUCACUGUCUCUGGUGGAUCAGUGAUCCUGCAGAGUCCUGUCCUCCCUGUGAUGGAGGGAGAUGACGUCACUCUGAGCUGUCAAACAAAGACUUCCUCCAACCUCCCAGCUGCUUUCAUUAAAGAUGGCUCCCUCAUCAGGACUGAACCUGCAGGUCACAUGACCCUCCACCAUGUGACCAGCUCUGAUGAAGGUCUCUACAAGUGUAACAUCAGUGGUCAUGGAGAGUCUCCAUCCAGCUGGAUCUCUGUCUCAG